rnacentral:rRNA from 1 species
UCCUACGGGGGGCAGCAGUGGGGAAUAUUGGACAAUGGGCGCAAGCCUGAUCCAGCCAUGCCGCGUGAGUGAUGAAGGCCUUAGGGUUGUAAAGCUCUUUCGUCAGGGAAGAUAAUGACGGUACCUGAAGAAGAAGCCCCGGCUAACUUCGUGCCAGCAGCCGCGGUAAUACGAAGGGGGCUAGCGUUGCUCGGAAUCACUGGGCGUAAAGCGCACGUAGGCGGCUUUCUAAGUCAGGGGUGAAAUCCUGGAGCUCAACUCCAGAACUGCCUUUGAUACUGGAAAGCUUGAGUUCGGGAGAGGUGAGUGGAACUGCGAGUGUAGAGGUGAAAUUCGUAGAUAUUCGCAAGAACACCAGUGGCGAAGGCGGCUCACUGGCCCGAUACUGACGCUGAGGUGCGAAAGCGUGGGGAGCAAACAGGAUUAGAUACCCCAGUAGUC